rnacentral:rRNA from 1 species
AACGAACGCUGGCGGCAGGCUUAACACAUGCAAGUCGAACGGGCACCUUCGGGUGUCAGUGGCAGACGGGUGAGUAACGCGUGGGAACGUACCUUUCGGUUCGGAAUAACCCAGGGAAACUUGGGCUAAUACCGGAUAACGCCGGGUAACGGGAAAGAUUUAUCGCCGAAAGAUCGGCCCGCGUCGGAUUAGCUAGGUUGGUGAGGUAACGGCCCACCAAGGCGACGAUCCGUAGCUGGUCUGAGAGGAUGAUCAGCCACACUGGGACUGAGACACGGCCCAGACUCCUACGGGAGGCAGCAGUGGGGAAUAUUGGACAAUGGGCGAAAGCCUGAUCCAGCCAUGCCGCGUGAGUGAAGAAGGCCUUAGGGUUGU